rnacentral:rRNA from 1 species
AAGGAAGCACACUUCGGUCAUAGAUUAAGCCGUGCAAGUGUUAGUUCAAGCAACGAAACUGCGAAUAGCUCAUUAAUACGCUCAGAAUCUAUUUGGCAGCAACUGUCCAGGUUUUAGAUGGAUAGCAGCAGUAAUUCUGGUCCUAAUACAUGCCAUUGUUUCAUCGGAAGUGAAAUACGAUGGAAAAGUUGACCGGCGGGCAAGCCAAUCGAUUGAGCGACCUAUCAGCUUGUACUUAGGGUCUUUACCUAGGUAGGCUAUCACGGGUAACGGGCGGUUACCGUCGGACUGCCGGAGAAGGCGCCUGAGAGAUAGCGACUAUAUCUACGGGUAGCAGCAGGCGCGAAACUUACCCACUCGAGACUUUCGGAGGUGGUAAUGACCAGUUCGAAGUCAGCUCCUCACGGGGUUGCGUGAAUAGGAUUACACUUUUCCAGUGUAGUCGUUCCUAGCAGAGAGCCAGUCUGGUGCCAGCAGCUGCGGUAAUGCCAGCUCUGCAAGCGUGCUCCCAUAUGUUGCAGUUAAAACGCCCGUAGUCGGAAUUACAUUUUGUCUAUGCGGCCUCCAGCCGCAUUCACUGUGAACAAAUCAGAACGCUUAGCGUAAGGCUACUUGAAUGACUCAGCGCAGUAUGAUAUUUUUACCUUUGGUAAGAUCAAGGAGAGCCAGCGGGGGUAGAUCUAUUUCAUGGCGAGCGGUGGAAUGCAAUAACCCAUGAGAGAGAAACGAAGGCGAAGGCAUCUACCUAGUAGGUUUCUGUCGAUCAAGGGCGAGAGUAGGAGUAUCGAACCGGAUUAGAGACCCUGGUAGUUCCUACCUUAAACGAUGCCGACAGGGGCUUAUCCUCAAGUGAGGGUAGGACCUUAGGAGAAAUCAUAGUUCUUGGGCUCUGGGGGAACUACGACCGCAAGGCUGAAAACUUGAAGGAAUUGACGGCGGGGCACACCAGGGGUGGAGCUUGUGUGUUGAUCUUGUCACCUCUGACGAGUCGCCCGAGCACUCAUGCAGUUGCAUGGUGCAGACUGCCUGCCACGAUGCAGGAGGAAGGACAGUCCGUGACAUACUGGCUACAAUGUGAGGAUAAUGGGUUGGGGCUGCCGAGAGAGCGGCUAAUCCCUUAAUCCCUCACGUACCUGGGAUUGACGGUCGGGAGGGCCGUCAUGAACCAGGAAUCCCUAGUAAGCGUGUGUCAACAACGCACGCUGAAUACGUCCCUGCCCUUU